CGACAUCACGAGGAUUUUCAACUCGUCGUUUAUUUUUUUAAGCCAUUUUGAAAAACUAAAGGAGGAAAAAAAA